rnacentral:rRNA from 1 species
UACAGAGGGGGCAAGCGUUGUUCGGAAUUACUGGGCGUAAAGGGCGCGUAGGCGGCCUGCUAAGUCGAACGUGAAAUCCCUGGGCUCAACCCAGGAACUGCGUCCGAUACUGGUUGGCUUGAAUCCGGGAGAGGGAUGUGGAAUUCCAGGUGUAGCGGUGAAAUGCGUAGAUAUCUGGAGGAACACCGGUGGCGAAGGCGACAUCCUGGACCGGUAUUGACGCUGAGGCGCGAAAGCGUGGGGAGCGAACAGG